rnacentral:rRNA from 1 species
UACAGAGGUCUCAAGCGUUGUUCGGAAUCACUGGGCGUAAAGCGCGCGUAGGCGGUCUGUUAAGUGGGAUGUGAAAUCCCCGGGCUUAACCUGGGAAUUGCAUUUCAAACUGGCCGACUAGAGUACGGUAGAGGGAGGUAGAAUUUCCUGUGUAGCGGUGAAAUGCGUAGAUAUAGGAAGGAAUACCAGUGGCGAAGGCGGCCUCCUGGAUCGAUACUGACGCUGAGGCGCGAAAGCGUGGGGAGCAAACAGG